GCGGCGCUGGUCUAGCCUGGUAGGACAGAAUUGCUCUCCUAAAACCAGCCCCCCAAGCUGGGAAUCCCGGGUUCAAAUCCCGGGCGCCGCA
rnacentral:tRNA from 1 species